rnacentral:rRNA from 1 species
GACGUAGGGUGCGAGCGUUGUCCGGAUUUAUUGGGCGUAAAGAGCUCGUAGGCGGCUCGUUGCGUCAGCUGUGAAAACCCGCAGCUCAACUGUGGGCUUGCAGCUGAUACGGGCAGGCUAGAGUUCGGUAGGGGAGACUGGAAUUCCUGGUGUAGCGGUGAAAUGCGCAGAUAUCAGGAGGAACACCGGUGGCGAAGGCGGGUCUCUGGGCCGAUACUGACGCUGAGGAGCGAAAGCGUGGGGAGCGAACAGG